ensembl:lncRNA
UGGCGUUAGCGCAGCUCAACCAGGCCUAAACCACACAGAACGGCAGUGUUUCAACAGAAGACUGGAAACCUGUAGGAGGGGGCGAGGCUUCGUCAUAUAGGAUUAUUUCAUUGGUUUAAAAGACUCAAGACCCCGCCUUGAUACAAAAAAAAAGAGUGAGGAGAGAGGAAACAAUAUCAACCAGUGAAACAGUUGGAUAGUCACCUAUUAAUCCGAGUCAUUUGCCGACCGUGUUUUUGGACAGGAGCACAACACAUUCCAUCCAACCCUGUAGGCUACUUUCCCUAAUCAUGUGUCUCUAUAUAGUCGCCGACACCGGAAACAGCUGUGUAUCCUAUUAUUCCUAGCACUUGGAUAACUAAGUUUUGGCAUUUUAAAGGUGGAUCAGUGUAAUAGUCUAUAUAAAAAAAUCUGUAUGAAAAAACACAUUUUUCACAACAACCGGCUGGAUGAUGCUGUGCAUGUGUGCGUAAAGUCUACAUUUUCUUCUGAACUUGGCGAUAAACGUCAGCUAUUCAAGGUGUGUGUCAAGGCGAUACAGGGAGGACUGUUAACCAUGUGCUACAGUGGCUAGGGUUCCCCAUCAUUCCCAGGGCCUCCCAUCACUGUCUUUCUGUCUGUGGUGCCACCCAUCACUGGCUGAGGAGGAGAGGGCCUCCCAUCACUGGCAGAGGAGGAGAGGGCCUCCCAUCACUGGCAGAGGAAGGAGAGGGCCACCCAUCACUGGCUGAGGAGGAGAGGGCCACCCAUCACUGGCUGAGGAGGAGAGGGCCACCCAUCACUGGCUGAGGAGGAGAGGGCCACCCAUCACUGGCUGAGGAGGAGAGGGCCACCCAUCACUGGCUGAGGAGGAGAGGGCCACCCAUCACUGGCUGAGGAGGAGAGGGCCACCCAUCACUGGCUGAGGAGGAGGAGGGCCACCCAUCACUGGCUGAGGAGGAGCGGGCCUCCCAUCACUGGCUGAGAAGGAGAGGGCCUCCCAUCACUGGCUGAGAAGGAGAGGGCCACCCAUCACUGGCUGAGGAGGAGCGGGCCUCCCAUCACUGGCUGAGGAGGAGAGGGCCUCCCAUCACUGGCUGAGGAAGGAGAGGGCCACCCAUCACUGGCUGAGGAAGGAGAGGGCCACCCAUCACUGGCUGAGGAGGAGAGGGCCUCCCAUCACUGGCUGAGGAAGGAGAGGGCCACCCAUCACUGGCUGAGAAGGAGAGGGCCUCCCAUCACUGGCAGAGGAGGAGAGGGCCUCCCAUCACUGGCUGAGGAGGAGAGGGCCUCCCAUCACUGGCAGAGGAGGAGAGGGCCUCCCAUCACUGGCUGAGGAGGAGAGGAGUCAUCGUGUCAACAGACAGAAAGACGCACAGACAUGGCUCUGACAGACAAACACAAAGUGAAGAGACAGAGACUAGACAGGAUCUGUGAAGGUAAGGAAGGAUCUCUUUCUCCAUCACUCUCCUUCCGC